AGUAGUGUUUAAAAUCGCGCGGAGAUUGUAGAAUGCUAUUUUAAGAAGUCUAUUAAAGAGAGAAAAUCCAGUAAAUACCAGAUCCAAAAAGCGCGGAACACAAAUAUCGUCCGCGAAAAUUAAGCAUUGAAUUACUGUACAAAUCUCGGGUUGUUAGGUGUUAGAAUCCCUAGUUACCCGAAAAAUUUGAUUGGAUCCGAUACUUAGAAAUAACCAAUCAGAUACUUUGUAACAAAUGCAACACAAUCAGUGCGUUUAGUAAGUAUAACGUUUCAAGAUGGCGGAGCGAAUUGCAUGGUUAUUGUUUCUACUCGAUGGAUUCGCAGAUAAUUCGGAAAUAGAUCAGAUUGGGAUCAAUAACUGUAUUGCAUACGAUCAUUUACAUGUAUUACCAGGUGUGUGUUGCCAGUAAUGGUUGAAGAUAUGCCAAACAAAUUGUGCCUCUCUAUACAGACAGAUUUCAGGUCUCAAUUUCGACUUCAAAGGUCAACAUAUCACUGAUAUCAGGAAUUCUGUACAACUGUGGAACCAUGUAUGGUACGUGACCGCACAAUGUUGGUUGGCAAAAGGAUAUUGGAAUAAGCAAAGGUAAAUUGUAUGUGAAGGAGUCUUGACAAUUGCAAAUAUGGUUAGUUUUUUUGUAAGGCUCGCAGAAAGUGACCCUAGC